rnacentral:rRNA from 1 species
CGGGCCUUGCCCUCAGUAGCGGCGAGUGAGCGGCAAAAGCUCAAAUUUGAAAUCUGGCGUCUUUGGCGUCCGAGUUGUAAUUUGAAGAAGGUAUCUUUGGGCCCGGCUCUUGUCUAUGUUCCUUGGAACAGGACGUCACAGAGGGUGAGAAUCCCGUGCGAUGAGAUGACCCGGGUCUGUGUAAAGUUCCUUCGACGAGUCGAGUUGUUUGGGAAUGCAGCUCUAAGUGGGUGGUAAAUUCCAUCUAAAGCUAAAUAUUGGCGAGAGACCGAUAGCGAACAAGUACAGUGAUGGAAAGAUGAAAAGAACUUUGAAAAGAGAGUGAAAAAGUACGUGAAAUUGUUGAAAGGGAAGGGCUUGAGAUCAGACUUGGUAUUUUGCAUGUUGCUCUCUCGGGGGCGGCCGCUGCGGUUUACCGGGCCAGCAUCGGUUUGGAGCGGCAGGAUAAUGGCGGAGGAAUGUGGCACGGCUUCUGCUGUGUGUUAUAGCCUCUGACGAUGCUGCCAGCCUAGACCGAGGACUGCGGUUUUUUACCUAGGAUGUUGGCAUAAUGAUCUUAAGUCGCCCGUCUGAACCCCGGAACACAA